rnacentral:tRNA from 1 species
UGGGGAGUAGUGUAACGGUAGCACUGCAGACUCUGGAUCUGCCUGUCUAGGUUCGAAUCCUGGCUCCCCAG